AUCCAGCUGAUGAGUCCCAAAUAGGACGGAACGUGAGUCAUGGAU
rnacentral:hammerhead_ribozyme from 1 species